rnacentral:rRNA from 1 species
GACGGAGGAUGCAAGUGUUAUCCGGAAUCACUGGGCGUAAAGCGUCUGUAGGUUGUUUAAAAAGUCUGCAGUUAAAGGUUGAAGCUUAACUUCAAAAAUGCCGUAGAAACUUUUAAACUAAGAGGAUGGUAGGGGUAGAGGGAAUUUCCAGUGGAGCGGUGAAAUGUGUAGAUAUUGGAAAGACCACCGAUGGCGAAGGCACUCUACUGGGCCAUGACUGACACUGAGAGACGAAAGCUAGGGGAGCAAAUGGG